AAAACUCAAAUGAAUUGACGGGGGCCCGCACAAGCGGUGGAGCAUGUGGUUUAAUUCGAUGCAACGCGAAGAACCUUACCUACUCUUGACAUCCAGAGAACUUUCCAGAGAUGGAUUGGUGCCUUCGGGAACUCUGAGACAGGUGCUGCAUGGCUGUCGUCAGCUCGUGUUGUGAAAUGUUGGGUUAAGUCCCGCAACGAGCGCAACCCUUAUCCUUUGUUGCCAGCGGUCCGGCCGGGAACUCAAAGGAGACUGCCAGUGAUAAACUGGAGGAAGGUGGGGAUGACGUCAAGUCAUCAUGGCCCUUACGAGUAGGGCUACACACGUGCUACAAUGGCGCAUACAAAGAGAAGCGACCUCGCGAGAGCAAGCGGACCUCAUAAAGUGCGUCGUAGUCCGGAUUGGAGUCUGCAACUCGACUCCAUGAAGUCGGAAUCGCUAGUAAUCGUAGAUCAGAAUGCUACGGUGAAUACGUUCCCG
rnacentral:rRNA from 1 species